ACGGCAUCCUUGGCCCCGAGGCUGGGCAGGGAUGUGGGGGCGUCCGGGGAAGCCCCCCUGACGCAGGACUGUGUCCGGGGGCCUCCGCCGAGCGGGCGUCUGCCUUCGCCGACUGGAGUCACCGCCCGGCCCGGCCCGUGGCUGCUCCCGGACGCCGAGGUCCCCCGGCAUCACAGGGAUUCCACCCACUUACACAACAGAAGGAGGACGUGUCACCUGGUGCCUGGAGACAGCGAGAAGAGUCUCCUUCCUCCAGGUGCUAUUGGGACUCAGUAGGGACCGAACAAGCACACGUGUCUGCAGCAUGGCCGCCUGGCGCUGGGGACGCAGCCCGCGGUCACCCACCAGGCUUCCUCCGGGCAGGAAACAAACCGCCUCCGGCCGCCCCAUCCGGGUAUGGGACUCGCCUGCGGGCCCCUCCCCUCGGGCCACGGUGUUAACCACCCCACGUGACAAUGCAGAGGAGACACGUGCCAGGCACGCGUGUAAGAAACGCACUUUGUACCCA